rnacentral:rRNA from 1 species
AGCAGUCGCCGCGGGAAUACAGAGGGUGCGAGCGUUAAUCGGAUUUACUGGGCGUAAAGCGUGCGUAGGAGGCUUCUUAAGUCGGAUGUGAAAUCCCUGAGCUUAACUUAGGAAUUGCAUUCGAUACUGGGAAGCUAGAGUAUGGGAGAGGAUGGUAGAAUUCCAGGUGUAGCGGUGAAAUGCGUAGAGAUCUGGAGGAAUACCGAUGGCGAAGGCAGCCAUCUGGCCUAAUACUGACGCUGAGGUACGAAAGCAUGGGGAGCAAACAGGAUUAGAUACCCCGGUAGUCCCUGUCUCUUAUAC